AGUUCGUAGGUGACCUGCGGAGGAUCAUUAUUGAAUGUUUUGAAGCAGUUGAGCUGGUCUUAACUAGACAUGUGCUUGCUGUUUCUAUUCAUCUCAUCCACCUGUGCACUUAUUGUAGAGCUUUGAGGAGAUGGCCUGGGUUUAACCACCUAGGUUCAGAACUCAAGUUCUAUGUAUUAUAUACUCUAUGAAUGUCUUGAAUGUCUUUUACUGGGACUUAACUGGCCCUUUAAACUUUAUACAACUUUCAGCAACGGAUCUCUUGGCUCUCGCAUCGAUGAAGAACGCAGCGAAAUGCGAUAAGUAAUGUGAAUUGCAGAAUUCAGUGAAUCAUCGAAUCUUUGAACGCACCUUGCGCCUCUUGGUAUUCCGAGAGGCAUGCCUGUUUGAGUGUCAUUAAAUUCUCAACUUCAAAAGCUUUGUCUUUUUGAAGCUUGGAUGUGAAGGCUUGCUGGCGUUUUAAAUGUUCAGCUCCUUUGAAAUGCAUUAGUGGACCCGUUUGUGUUCAUCCUUAGUGUGAUAAUUAUCUACGCUAUGGUUUUGAAUGCAUGCUCAUUAGAAUCCUUCAAGCUGUUUCACAGUCUUGGCGUGGAGAGUUGCAUUUACUUGCUCUUUCUGUCUUUUGAGUCAGGAUUGUCUGCUUCUAACCGUCUGCCUCUGUAGACAAACUUGAACCAUUUGACCUCAAAUCAGGUAGGACUACCCGCUUAACUUAAGCAUAUCAAUAAGCGGAGGA
rnacentral:rRNA from 1 species